GGGAAGGCGAGAGACACGGAGAGGGAGAGAGAGAGUUGCUGUAUUCCAGCAGGCUCACUAGGUACAAAUGGAAACGGAUUCACAAUCUGCUGCUCUCCUCUCCUCGUUCUCAGUGGGCACGUGGACCCGUAAGCACAGCGCCGGGAUACCUGACACGUAACGGACGUCAGUGUGUCAGAUUGUUAACCCUUUAACGGGCUGGCGGGUGAUAUGACCGAGCUCGGGUCUUGUAUCUGUCCGUUGCUCCGUGCGCACAGCAAACAUCCCACAUGAGCAGGAAUGAAAAAUGGCUGACGGCAGGUCCACCACAGCCCAGUCAUCUGGCACUGUGGGACCGGAGCCACGACUCUGAUUAAGCACAGAUGUAAAAGCACGGCGUCCCAGCUUCAUUGACCCCGGGACCAAAACCUGCUCUCCGGCCAGCUGCACGUAUCUCAACGUCACAACAUAAGACGGUGGCCCAGAAAGUACAAGAAUCAGCGUUUACUCGGCUGCAGUGACGUCUCACUGAUUUGUUUCCCUGAUGAGAGCUGAAACGCAGACUGAACAGCCUCGGCUUGUGGUCCACACAGCCUGCCAGUACUGCCGCUCCGCCCUGACGGAGAAGAACCAGACUCACUCCAAACUAAACAACCAAAGGGAGAAUAAAUAAGGGCUGGUCUUUAAAUGCCACACGGACUUGAAGGCUAAAGCAGUGACAGAUAACAGGCGUGAACUGCGUAGCACCUGUAGAGUCAAAGAUGUGCUCCUGAACGUGGGGUCCUUUCAGUUGCAGAUCAGAGCGCGCCCUCUAGUGGCCGGAUGGCAGAACAGCUGAAGCUCGAAGACCAUCACCGACCACAGUCUGUGAGCGGUCAAAGCCACCAUCCGUACUGCAUGUGCUCAUUUCUCUCGUUUAGUUUUGCUCCAGUCUGUAUUAGUAGAAAAUAUAUUUUUUUGUUCGGGCCACAUUUUGCACGACGCAGGACAGAAGAAAUAAACUACGGAACAAACUAAAUUAAUUAAUUGAUUAGUAGAUAAACGGAAUAAUCAGAAAGGGAAAAUUUAAUCUCUUUCAGCUUCUCACAUGUGAAGGUUUGCUGCUUUUCUCUUUUGGACAUUUUACAGACAAAACAUUCAUUUACUCAGAAAAGACUCAUCAUCACUCUUAAAAACAUUAAAACGGUGCGAACGUGUAAAAACUCCACGAAAGUACCAGAUGUUCAGAAAAUCAUUUUGCUUCCUCUUUGGGAUGUUCCACUGGCUGUGACUUGAUUCAUGUCCUCUGAUACACAUCUGCUGUCACAAAGACGCAGACCGUCAGUGUGUAGUUUGGAUUUGGGACACAUGCCGGUAUAAUUCUUCAUUAAAGUCUGUACAGACUCUCAGAGGGCUCAGUGACUCCACAGAGAAAACACACUCGUUUUUAAACAGCAUUUAUUUAGCUUUCUCCAUACAAUACAUUUAAUGUACAACAGCACAUACUGUAUUCUGAAAUAACUCUCAGUAUAAAAUAGGGCUUCUACAAUCAAGGUACAGUCAUAAAAUGCUCUGAGGGACAUGACGACGACGACGACAGUAAAACACCUUCAUAUAAAGCGCAGGAUCUUGAGAGAAGUGAUUGUAUUUGCUGAGCUGCUGCUGUAGGAAGCAGAACUUCACACCACAACCUCUCAGAGCAUCCGACAUCCUGCAAGAACCCGUUUUGUUUUGCUUUUCCUCUCGGUUCUUGUUUCACAACUGAGGAGAGUCCGAACGAUGAUCAACGCAUAAGAACAUGAUCUGAUACAACUGCCGAAAAUAAAAAGUCGUGGUGAUAUGAGAGGAUAAAUCAGGCCUUGUUUGGAUACUUAAUAUAUAGCGAGGUCAAAGCGUACACCGUAUUAUGACUGCUAAUCAAGCCUAUAUCUUCACAAUCAUAUAUUGAACCGUUUGUGAGUGUAGCUGGAUUGUUUCUGGAGUGUUUAUCCAGACAUCAAACACUUAAAACACAGCAAAAGUAUACUGUACUAAUCACUGAAGCCACAAGAAAACCAGCUUAUUUCAAACAUCAGCCAAUCAAAGAUCGUUUUAAAAAAAAGAAAAAAAAAGAUUUUCUUUUUUAUUGUCUGCAGAUGUGCAUCAGAGUGUGUGUGGGCCUAUAUAGUAUCUAUAAAUGUGUCUUUAAAUAGAAUACACGCAACACUGACCAGCUCUUGUGUUAGUUUGCUAUUACGUAGUGCUUCAGGUGCUGAAUAUACAUUAUAUAACAUGUCCAAUCGGAAUGAGAGAAGGCCUAGGAACGAGGAAACAGAAGAAGAGCCUGACAAACAUCAGGAGAGAGAAGGGAGAGAUUUGUCUCAAGUCUUGAGGUAAGCAAUGUGUUUCAGUAUAAUGCCCUACAGACAAUCAUACAGUUACAAUCAUUAAAUCUCUAUAUACAAACUUCCUGAUUUACAUACACUGUACUGCUCCUCAGUUUGAAAUUCAACAAAACUAAAAGUGAGAUCAUAUUCGCGGCGCGACGUUUUAGAAAGCGAGGACGGCAGGAAAGGGGGA